AACACAUGCAAGUCGAGGGGCAGCAUGGUCUUAUCUUGCUAAGGCCGAUGGCGACCGGCGCACGGGUGAGUAACACGUAUCCAACCUGCCGUCUACUCUUGGACAGCCUUCUGAAAGGAAGAUUAAUACAAGAUGGCAUCAUGAGUCCGCAUGUUCACAUGAUUAAAGGUAUUCCGGUAGACGAUGGGGAUGCGUUCCAUUAGAUAGUAGGCGGGGUAACGGCCCACCUAGUCUUCGAUGGAUAGGGGUUCUGAGGGGAAGGUCCCCCACAUUGGAACUGAGACACGGUCCAAACUCCUACGGGAGGCAGCAGUGAGGAAUAUUGGUCAAUGGGCGAGAGCCUGAACCAGCCAAGUAGCGUGAAGGAUGACUGCCCUAUGGGUUGUAAACUUCUUUUAUAAAGGAAUAAAGUCGGGUAUGGAUACCCGUUUGCAUGUACUUUAUGAAUAAGGAUCGGCUAACUCCGUGCCAGCAGCCGCGGUAAUACGGAGGAUCCGAGCGUUAUCCGGAUUUAUUGGGUUUAAAGGGAGCGUAGAUGGAUGUUUAAGUCAGUUGUGAAAGUUUGCGGCUCAACCGUAAAAUUGCAGUUGAUACUGGAUAUCUUGAGUGCAGUUGAGGCAGGCGGAAUUCGUGGUGUAGCGGUGAAAUGCUUAGAUAUCACGAAGAACUCCGAUUGCGAAGGCAGCCUGCUAAGCUGCAACUGACAUUGAGGCUCGAAAGUGUGGGUAUCAAACAGGAUUAGAUACCCUGGUAGUCCACACGGUAAACGAUGAAUACUCGCUGUUUGCGAUAUACUGCAAGCGGCCAAGCGAAAGCGUUAAGUAUUCCACCUGGGGAGUACGCCGGCAACGGUGAAACUCAAAGGAAUUGACGGGGGCCCGCACAAGCGGAGGAACAUGUGGUUUAAUUCGAUGAUACGCGAGGAACCUUACCCGGGCUUAAAUUGCAGAUGAAUUACGGUGAAAGCCGUAAGCCGCAAGGCAUCUGUGAAGGUGCUGCAUGGUUGUCGUCAGCUCGUGCCGUGAGGUGUCGGCUUAAGUGCCAUAACGAGCGCAACCCUUGUUGUCAGUUACUAACAGGUUCCGCUGAGGACUCUGACAAGACUGCCAUCGUAAGAUGUGAGGAAGGUGGGGAUGACGUCAAAUCAGCACGGCCCUUACGUCCGGGGCUACACACGUGUUACAAUGGGGGGUACAGAGGGCCGCUACCACGCGAGUGGAUGCCAAUCCCCAAAACCUCUCUCAGUUCGGACUGGAGUCUGCAACCCGACUCCACGAAGCUGGAUUCGCUAGUAAUCGCGCAUCAGCCACGGCGCGGUGAAUACGUUCCCGGGCCUUGUACACACCGCCCGUCAAGCCAUGGGAGCCGGGGGUACCUGAAGUGCGUAACCGCGAGGAGCGCCCUAGGGUAAAACUGGUGACUGGGGCUAAG
rnacentral:rRNA from 1 species